rnacentral:rRNA from 1 species
AAUCAACGCUGGCGGCGUGCCUAACACAUGCAAGUCGAACGAGAAGGUGACUUCGGUCACUGGAUAGUGGCGUCCGGGUGAGUAACACGUAGGUAAUCUGCCUUCGGGUGGGGAAUAACGUCUCGAAAGAGACGCUAAUACCGCAUAAUGCAGCGGCACCUAAUGGUGAUUAGUUGUUAAAGCGGGGGAUCUUCGGACCUCGCGCCUGAAGAGGAGCCUGCGGCAGANAGCUAGUUGGUGAGGUAAUGGCUCACCAAGGCUUCGAUCUGUAGCUGGUCUGAGAGGACGGCCAGCCACACUGGCACUGACACACGGGCCAGACUCCUACGGGAGGCAGCAGUGGGGAAUUUUGGGCAAUGGGCGAAAGCCUGACCCAGCAACGCCGCGUGAAGGAGG